AACGAACGCUGGCGGCGUGCUUAAUACAUGCAAGUCGAACGUGAAAGUCCUUCGGGAUGAGUAAAGUGGCGCACGGGUGAGUAAUACAUAGGAACGUACCUUUAGGGAGGGGGAUAACUACGGGAAACCGUGGCUAAUACCGCAUAAUCUCGAAAGAGCAAAGAUGGCCUCUGUUUACAAGCUAUCACCUUUAGAGCGGCCUAUGCCCCAUUAGCUAGUUGGUAGGGUAAUGGCCUACCAAGGCAACGAUCCGUAGCUGGUCUGAGAGGACGACCAGCCACACUGGGACUGAGAUACGGCCCAGACUCCUACGGGUGGCUG
rnacentral:rRNA from 1 species